GCUUAGUGGAUAUCCAGCAUUUAUUUUCACUGAAAAAUUAAUUUGGCCUUAGUAUCAUUAAAUAGGGAUAUGACAUCCUCAGAAACAAACAUUAACAAAAAACCUCACUUUUCUUCUUCUGGAAGUUAACAGCUAUACAGAGAAGUUUCAAUGAGGUAGAAUAUAAGCUCACAUAAGCAACUAUGGUUCAAUUUCUAAUUUAGAUACCUUAUUCCUAAAGAAGA
rnacentral:lncRNA from 1 species